AACAACCUUUUUACUAUGCCCAGAGAAGUCAUCUUACAGGUGGUCUGGACUCAUUUCGACCCGGCUCUCAGGCACUGUGUAACCUGCAGAUGUUGGGCUGGAGAAGGUGGAAGCCAUACUAGUGUGUGCAUGUGCUUGGCCCUCACAUGCCUCCUCACUCACACACUGAGGUCUCCACUUGAGUGGUCUUCCUUUCAGCCUGUUCUUUCUCUGUGUCCCCAUUCCAGGGAUGGCCCCCUUUCCCCAUCCACCAGACUAGAAACUUGAGCCUUGUUUUAGUUGCUUCCUUCCCAUUUUCUAGUGAGCCUGUCAAUUACUGAGUCCUCCUCACUCUGCAUGGACAACUCUGUAGUCCAUCCCUUCUGCUUUCUAUGCCUACCUCUGCUGUCCUGCUAGGAACCUCCAUUCUUUCUUGCCUGGAUCCCUUCCCAGCCGCUUCUCUGGUCUCAUGGUUUUCACUUCCUCUGUACAAUCCAACUUUUUCAUAGCAUCCACAGAGAUCCUUGUAAAUAUAACCUUGUCCCUCCUGUACUCAAAACCACAGCUCCUCAAAGACCCCAGGGUAGUGUUGCCAGAUACAAUACAGGAUGCCCAGUUAAAUUUGAAUUUCUGAUAUACAACUGAUUUUUUUUAGUAUAAGCAUGUCCCAAAUACUACAUAUGGUAAAGUUAAAUGUUCAAAUUCCAGCUCCAUUUUCUACUCGUGAUCUUGGGCAAACUUGGGCAAGUGACUUACUUCUCUAUGCCUGUUUCCACAUCUAUAAUGUGGGAAUACAGGCAGUAUUUCUCUCAUAGGUUUGUUUCAAGGACUAAAGGAGGUAAUGUUUGUAACACUCUAAGAAUAAUGCAGGUCUACAGUAAGUAUUCCAUAAACCCCUUGCUAUUGUUAUUAUUAUAAGGCUUUACAUAUUUUAACCCUCUUAAUACAUUAGUCUUCCUAACACCUUAGGAACUUUGUAGAUGCUGUUCACUUUGCUUGGAUUAUCCAUCUUAAGUCUCAAUAGGAUGCCCUCCCUCAGGAAGCCAUGAUCCCUCAAGAUAAGUCAGCCUUCCCACCUCCGACUUGGAUAGCUCUGUGUUCUCUUUAGCAUUUUACACAGCCUGUCAUCAUACAUUUUUUAUUGCCUGUCUUCCCCUCUGGACUGAGUCCUGUGACAGCAGAGCCUGGAGCUGUCUUGGUUGCCACCAUGUGCCCAAUAUUGUACAACAUUUAUCUGAGCACAUCGUAGGUGGUCAACAAAUAGGGAAGGAAGGGAUGACUUAAUCUGAUGUUAUGGAAGUUAGCUUUACCCUGAAAGCACAGUGAGCUACGGGUUUUAAGCAGGGGAGACAAAAUACAAUUUGAGCUCCGAGCAUUCCAGACCUUUGCACUUGCUAUUUCCUCUAUUUACUAUGCCUUCUCUUCUCUAUCUUUGUUUGACUCAGUCCUACUAAUUUCUCAAGGUCUUAUCCUUUGCAGGAUGCUUUCCCUGAGCCCAUCAUAUUUCUUCUGGGAUCCCUGCCUUCUGGCCUUUUUCUAUCACAGCCCCAAUCACUCUGGGCUGUCACUGUCAGGGGACUGUGUGAGUCUCUCUGCCAGGACUGUAAACUCCUUGAAGGGAGUAUUAGAAAUGUUCUAGUCAUCACUGAGGAAAGCUUUGAAAAUGAUUAUUAAAGGAGAGUGGUGGGCUGGCUGUAUACCCACACUUACAGGUAUCUCCCUACACAGAUGUCACCUGUGAGAAUCCCAGAUGUCCUUUCUCCCAGCUCCCAGCACUGCCCUCCCAGCUAGACCUAUGUGAGCAGGUGUUUGGGCUCUCAGCCUUGUCAGUAGCCCAGGCUGUGGCUCAGACGAACUCCUACUACGGUGGCCAGACCCCUGGGGCUAACCAAGUGCUGUUUGUUAAUGGGGACACAGACCCCUGGCAUGUGCUAAGUGUAACACAGGCUUUAGGAUCCUCAGAAUCAACUCUUCUUAUCCGCACUGGCUCCCACUGCUUGGACAUGGCACCUGAGAGGCCCUCAGACUCCCCCAGCCUCCGCCUAGGGCGCCAGAACAUCUUCCAGCAGCUACAGACCUGGCUCAAGCUGGCAAAGGAGAGCCAGAUUAAGGGUGAAGUCUGAAUCUCAUACCCUUUCCACUCCCUGUAUGGUCACCUCAGUCUUGGACAUACUUGUUCACUGAACAAAAGAAAGCAGCUUGUUUUGAAAGAAGAAACUCCCAGGAAUUGGAAUUCAGCACCUGUUCCGCGUGUAACUGGCAUGUGUCUGCAAACAUCUUUAUUCCCAACUUAAAGUGCUUUAUUGCAGAGAGUUAUGGAAAUAUAAGUGGAUGAUUAUUCUCAUUGUAAAUAUUGGUAUUUUGAAUGUUAAAUGUCAAACAAAUGUGACUUAUGCUGGUGCCCUCCCCCUGCUGAUCAGAUUCUGGUUCAAAUUCUGCCACUCCACCUCCUGGGUUAGGGGCUUUGCUGUAAGUUUCUUUUUCUGGACUUUAGAUCCUGAACCUGUCCUUGCUUCUCAGUUUCUCUCACUGUACCCCUUUCCCUCAGUCUCUUCCUCUCUCUUUCCCCUGUCACUAUUUGUCUUUCUAAUCUCCUUCUGUUUCUCUGAAUAUCUUCAUUUCUAUCUCUGUGUUUUUGUCUAUUUCUCUGUUUAUCUUUCUGUUCUUCCAUCUGUGUUUUUGUUUCUCGCUCUCCGUCAGUGUCUUUGUCUCUCCUCUCUCUCUUGCUCUGCCCUGGCUAUUUCCACUGCUCUAUUUCUGACUCUCAUUUUUGGUCUCUGUGUGUCUCCUAGUCACUUUCUCUCUCACUCUAUCUCUGUCUCUAUUUCCCUCUCUCCUCUGCUGUGUCCUCAAUCUCUCUGUCUCCCUGAGGCUCUGUUUCUGUCUCUGAUGCUCUUCUUCUGUGUCUCUAUUUCUCUUCCUGUCACUUAAUCUUUUCCUUCUCUAUCUCUCUCAUUUAGUCUUCCUUCCACACCACUCACUCACCAUCUCUUCCCACAAUCAAAUAUCACUCCCUGGUACUUCCAGCUUCCAACCCUAGGGAUUCAUGAUUCUGGUGGAGACUCCUUCUUCCAGGGCCUGGGAGGAUAGGGCUAAUCCCAAGGGUGCCUGCUUAGGCUAUGUUAGCUGUGACAAGAACCUGCCAUAGAUUUGCACUGUUCUUUCCUAAAGAUCAAUUGUUUUCAGCAAUAAAUACUUCUCAGCUUUUUGUACAUCUUUGUAUGCACAGAGAUGGUAGUUUUAGAGUUUUAUCCAGUUUCAUAUUUGCUUGUUGGUAAGAGGAAACCUCCUCAUGCUGUCAUACCAGAGUCGAUCUCCACUAUACAUUAGUUCUGCCUGUUCUUGAUCUUUAUAUAAAUGGAAACAUGCAGUAUAUACU
rnacentral:sRNA from 1 species